UGGGCUAUAGCCAAGCGGUAAGGCAACGGACUUUGACUCUGUCACUCGUUGGUUCGAAUCCAGCUAGCCCAG
rnacentral:tRNA from 1 species